rnacentral:misc_RNA from 1 species
UCCGGUUUGUCACCGGCAGUUUCUUUAGAGUGCCCAACUGAAUGCUGGCAACUAAAGACGAGGGUUGCGCUCGUUGCGGGACUUAACCCAACAUCUCACGACACGAGCUGACGACAGCCAUGCAGCACCUGUGUUGCGGUUCCCUUUCGGGCACCGAGGUAUCUCUACCCCCUUCCGCACAUGUCAAGGGUAGGUAAGGUUUUUCGCGUUGCAUCGAAUUAAUCCACAUAAUCCACCGCUUGUGCGGGUCCCCGUCAAUUCCUUUGAGUUUUAGCCCUGCGACCGUACUCCCCAGGCGGGAUGCUUAAUGCGUUAGCUGCGCCACCGAAGAGCAAGCUCCCCGACGGCUAGCAUCCAUCGUUUACGGCGUGGACUAC